rnacentral:rRNA from 1 species
UACGGAGGGGGUUAGCGUUGUUCGGAAUUACUUGGCGUAAAGCGCACGUAGGCGGACUGGAAAGUUGGGGGUGAAAUCCCGGGGCUCAACCCCGGAACUGCCUCCAAAACUUCCAAUCUAGAGAUCGAGAGAGGUGAGUGGAAUUCCAAGUGUAGAGGUGAAAUUCGUAGAUAUUUGGAGGAACACCAGUGGCGAAGGCGGCUCACUGGCUCGAUACUGACGCUGAGGUGCGAAAGCGUGGGGAGCAAACAGGAUUAGAAACCCUAGUAGUCC